rnacentral:lncRNA from 1 species
UUUGGCAAAAGUGAUGCUGUGGCAGUGUCUUGCCCAGACUUAUGAUAGUGGGGGCUUCCAUUCCUGUCUUUUGGAACACUUGCCCCUGGAAGUCUGAGCCUUCAUGUAAGAAGUUUGGCUACUCUGCUGGAGAGGCCUCCUGGAGAGUACCCAAGAAUCUACCAAAAGGAGGUGGAGGUUGGCUCACGCAUCAGGCAUUUCCUUAGGAAAUCCCACCAUUGUCUGAUUGGGAAGGAAUGGCUUUCCCGACUGGUGCGACUAGGAAGAUCAUCCUCUGAAGGAAAAAACCCAGACGUUCUGUCUCCAAUAGAUUCCCAGUAUUCCCACCGUCCCAGCCUGUGGAGCUCCAUGCUUGUACCUUGUGCACUUUCUGAAUAACAAAGGUGCACUGGUUUUCGGCAGCACAGUGAGGACAGAAAGGAUUAAGCGAGGUUAGCACUGAGCAUCCACCAUGGAGUCGGCCAGAAGAAGCCUGCGUGACCGGGAACUGCUGAAGCCCUCUUAGUUAUAUCAUAGCCAGUUGAAUUACUGCUGUGUGUGCAUCUUAUUUCUCUAACUGGCUUGUUAUCACCUUUAGGAUAGGGAGCUAUCUUUUGUGUCUCUGCUCAGGUCUAUGAUUUUUUUAUUGUGGAAAGAAUUUUAAAACCGUUAUCUGAUAGUCUAGUAUCACCCCUUAUGGCUCUGUAUAAAUAGCUUACCUUUUAAGCCUGUUUCUUCAUCUGUAAAAUAAAAACAAUAACACUUCCUGGGCUACUAACAAAAUUAAGAGAUACAGCAUUUACAAACAGGCUUCAAAAUUAUAUAUUUGUAUAAAAUUUAAAGCAUUAUUGCUAUAGUUAAUAAUUAAUAAUAGUAGAAAAUAAGUAUUUAAAGAAUGUUGAAUAAAAGGAAAGAAUCCAAUGUUCAAGAUUGUAUUGCUGCUUUAGGGGUCCAAUGAAUGACACACAAGGAAAAUAUCAGGGCCUAGGUUUUUAGCUAGCUGAGAUGCACAUAACAUAGUAGCUACAUGCAAAUAAUCCAUAAUUGGAGUAAUCCCAAAGAAUGCUAGUCAUUAAUUUGAAGUCAUAAGGCAAUGUGCACAGAAGUCAAGUCUUUAUAUAGAGUACAUAGUGAGCAAUUCUCUACAGAUCUUCUUCCUCUAACUCCAGUGUAAUGAUUGAUGCCCUUUCUCGGUAUGAUCCUCUACUGUUAUAAGUAUGUGUUAAGAAAUUUUUCAAAAAUGAUAAAUUC